rnacentral:rRNA from 1 species
AUUUACGGCCAUACCACGUUGACAACACCAGCUCUCGUUCAAUCCCUGAAGUUAAGCAACGUUGGGCCGAGUCAGUCCGUGGCACGUAUUUUGCAAUUCUCAGCGCAAUUAUUU